CGAUAACGAACGAGACCUUACUCUGCUAAAUAGCCAGGCUAGCUUUGGCUGGUCGCCGGCUUCUUAGAGAGACUAUCAACUCAAGUUGAUGGAAGUUUGAGGCAAUAACAGGUCUGUGAUGCCCUUAGAUGUUCUGGGCCGCACGCGCGCUACACUGACAGAGCCAACGAGUUCUUCACCUUGGCCGAAAGGUCUGGGUAAUCUUGUUAAACUCUGUCGUGCUGGGGAUAAAGCAUUGCAAUUAUUGCUUUUCAACGAGGAAUGCCUAGUAAGCGCGUGUCAUCAGCAUGCGUUGAUUACGUCCCUGACCUUUGUACACACCGCCCGUCGCUACUACCGGAUUGAAUGGCU
rnacentral:rRNA from 1 species